rnacentral:rRNA from 1 species
UACGGAGGGGGCGAGCGUUAUUCGGAAUUAUUGGGCGUAAAGGGCGCGUAGGCGGCCAAGUAAGUCAAAGGUGAAAUCCCUCGGCUCAACUGAGGAAUUGCCUUUGAAACUGCGUGGCUUGAGGCCGGGAGGGGGUAGCGGAAUUCCCAGUGUAGCGGUGAAAUGCGUAGAUACUGGGAGGAACACCAGUGGCGAAGGCGGCUACCUGGACCGGUUCUGACGCUGAUGCGCGCAAGCGUGGGGAGCAAACAGG